rnacentral:rRNA from 1 species
AUUGAACGCUGGCGGCAGGCCUAACACAUGCAAGUCGAACGAGUGGCGGACGGGUGAGUAAUGUCUGGGGAUCUGCCUGAUGGAGGGGGAUAACUACUGGAAACGGUCGCUAAUACCGCAUACCAUCGGAUGUGCCCAGUUGGGAUUAGCUAGUAGGUGAGGUAACGGCUCACCUAGCCGACGAUCCCUAGCUGGUCUGAGAGGAUGACCAGCCACACUGGGACUGAGACACGGUCCAGACUCCUACGGGAGGCAGCAGUGGGGAAUAGUGCGCAAUGGGCGCAAGCCUGAUGCAGCCAUGCGGCGUGGAUGAAGAAGGCCUUGGGGUUGUAAAGUACUUUCAGCGGCGAGGCGUUACCCGCAGAAGAAGCACCGGCUAACUCCGUGCCAGCAGCCGCGGUAAUUC